rnacentral:lncRNA from 1 species
CUCAGCUCUGCGUGUGAAGAGGGAAAAGGCUUCCGUUUAUUUAGCAUAAUGAUGGACCAAAACAAAAGAAGAAAUCAUUUCACUCAUGCUUAGCAGUGUAAAGUACUCCUUUCAAAGCAGUACCACAUUACAAAAUCUGCAAAUCCCAGAAGUCAAUAACCUGAAGACAUGCCAGGAGCAGUGAAGAAAACAAGUGUCAUGAGAGAUGAGGCAAUAAAGACAGCAAGCUGAGGAGGAGGCUGUUUUCAAGCCACUGAUCAGAAUACACAGUAGGUACCCUUUUUCCCCUGGUACCCAAUGUCACCACCUCAAAGGGGUGAUUUUUUUAAUCGAUGGCCUAAAGAAUUCUUUUCAAAUGACACGAGUUGCUUUGAGGAGAGGUGGAAUGAGAUAGGCUCAAAUACAAAGAAGAAUCUUGCCAAAGUCCAAAGUCAGAAAAGAACCCACUGUGAAAGAGGAACCCACAAGAGUCAACAUCUUGCUACUUCAACUAAUUGCGCCCAUUGGAAGGCAAUGGAAGAUGGACUGGAAGUUCACACACACAAAAAAAUAGAAAAACCUGUCUGGGCAUGGUGGCUCUCACCUGUAAUCGCAGUGCUUUGGGAAGUUGAGCCAGAAGGAUCACUUGAAGCCAGGAGUUCAAGUCCAGCCUGGGCAACAUAGCAAGACCCUGUCUCUAUAAAAAUAAAAAUAAUUAGCCAGGUGUGGUGGUGUGCACUUGUAGUCCUAGCUACACAGGAGGCCGAGGUGGGAGGAUCACUUGAGCCCAAGUGUUCGAGGCUGCAGUGAGCUAUGAUCACACCAUUGCACUGUAGCCUGG